GACGAACGCUGGCGGCGUGCUUAACACAUGCAAGUCGAACGGUGAACCUCUUCGGAGGGGAUCAGUGGCGAACGGGUGAGUAACACGUGGGCAACCUGCCCCCGGCUCUGGGAUAACUCCAAGAAAUUGGGGCUAAUACCGGAUGUUCACCGCUUCCCGCAUGGGUGGUGGUGGAAAGGGUUUCCGGCUGGGGAUGGGCCCGCGGCCUAUCAGCCUGUUGGUGGGGUAGUGGCCUACCAAGGCGACGACGGGUAGCCGGCCUGAGAGGGUGACCAGCCACACUGGGACUGCGACACGGCCCAGACUCCUACGGGGGGCAGCAGUGGGGAAUAUUGCGCAAUGGGCGGAAGCCUGACGCAGCGACGCCGCGUGGGGGAUGCCGGCCUUCGGGUUGUAAACCUCUUUCAGCAGGGACGAAGCGCAAGUGACGGUACCUGCAGAAGAAGCACCGGCCAACUACGUG
rnacentral:rRNA from 1 species